CUUGCUCAUUGAUACAUUUGCUAUGUCAAUAUGAGGUGCAUGGCAAAGUAUUUAAUUUAUUUGUCUCGCUUCUAGGAGCUGUAGAAACAAUAGGGUGUUCUUUUUCAGGGUAUUCUUUUUUAUAGAACUGGACAGGUCAUUUAUUCGUUCCCCUUGUUUUUUGAAGUGUCCUGCAGGAUGCUGUGUCCUGCAAUCCUGUGUGCUGUGCUACAGACGCGUGUGGAGGUCAACCCAAAAUGGGCACAGUCUCACCACAGAAGAGUGAAAGAGGAUCCUGGCAGGGAGACGGUAGUGUCCUGCAGAAUGGUGAUGGGCCAAUCUUACAAGAGACCACAGAAAACUGAUAUAGUGUAAGAUUAUCCCUGUUGGGCUCAAUAGGUCUUACUUAUUGACAUAUUUGCUAUGUCAAUAUGAGGUGCAUGGCAAAGUAUUUAUUUAUUUGUCUCGCUUCUAGGAACUACAGAAACAACAGUGCCUGCUGCAGUAUAACAAGGACACCCUGAGCAGAGAGCUCCAAUAGACCCAGGUCCAGUGUCUUGGCAGGGUGAAAUGGCACUGAUAUGGUGUCCUGCAGGAUGCUGUGUCCUGCAAUCCUGUGUGCUGUGCUACAGACGCGUGUGGAGGUCAACCCAAAAUGGGCACAGUCUCACCACAGAAGAGUGAAAGAGGCUCCCAGAAGUGAGACUGAGUGCCUGUUGCAGUAUGACGAGGACGCAGUGACCAGAGACCUUCAGUAGACCCUGCUGGCAUGAUUGGUGGCUGAAGAACAUGAAAUCAACAGCAAUGUUUAUAAUGUUGUACAUACCUGUAUAGUCUGUAUUAAAAGGCAGUACCUGUA